rnacentral:rRNA from 1 species
UACGUAGGGACCGAGCGUUGUCCGGAAUCAUUGGGCGUAAAGAGCGUGUAGGCGGCUCGCUAAGUCUUGCGUGAAAUCUCGGGGCUCAACCCCGAGCGGUCGUGAGAAACUGGCGGGCUAGAGUGCGGGAGAGGAGAGUGGAAUUCCUGGCGUAGCGGUGAAAUGCGCAGAUAUCAGGAAGAACACCCGUGGCGAAGGCGGCUCUCUGGAACGCAACUGACGCUGAGACGCGAAAGCGUGGGGAGCAAACAGG